rnacentral:tRNA from 1 species
GGGGUUGUGGCUCAGGGGCAGAGCGCUCGCCUUGCACGCAUGGGGCACUGGGUUUGAUCCUCAGCACCCCA